AAGUCGUAACAAGGUUUCCGUAGGUGAACCUGCGGAAGGAUCAUUAACACAAUACAUCCACAUGUAUCAACCCUUUGUGAACCAAUUCCUGUCUCAGGAGAGCGAGGAGCGCAGCGGCGUGGGCUUGUUCCACAACGCUGUUCUCUUGGCGAUCCGUUUUUCAUACCUUUUUCAACCCUUAACAUGUUCAGUCUAAACUUUAUACAUACGAAACGCUGUACAACUCUUAGCAACGGAUAUCUUGGUUCUC
rnacentral:misc_RNA from 1 species